GAAAGAAAACAAACCAGCAGUUGUGAUCUCGGAGUGUCGUAGCGAGUAAAUUGGAAAGUCUAAAUGAAAACACAAGGAGUAAACAGUGUGGAGUCGAUCUUGUUAUUUCUCAUUUAUAUUCUGGUAAAACAUGCAGCCUCGGGUAAAAAUCACGCAACUUUGGAGACGAAAAAAUGACCAUGUACAAAUCAGAGUUAAAGUAGCUUUACUGAAAAAUGUACAAUUACACUGUAAGGCACACAGAUUCAGCAGUCUCAAUCCAACAAACAAUCAAAAGAAGAGAGUACAUCAGAAGGAACAGAAUUAAUGAAGGUCAUGACUGGAUCAGUGUUUAGUUCUCAUACUUUACUGAAUGCGAGAAUACAGGCACACAGUCCCCACCCCCCUCCACGAAAAUUAGACAAAGUAACACCCCAAAAACAAUCAAAAGCACACUGGAUUUCUCUGUAUUGUCAGAAAGCGUUCUACUUUAGCGAUUAGUAAUGAUGUCAUCUGCAGCUCAGGAUAUCCCCGAGCAUCGGUGUGUGAAACGGUUGCUGUAAAAGACAAGAGCGUGUACGCGGUCUUAAUUUGUACACGCGGUCAGGAAUGUGUUCGGGUUUAGCGCUAACCGUAAUCUAGGUCCAAUGAAGAACAGAACCAGCAGUGGGAAAAUCAUACCGAUAUGAAAUCAGCAAAGCGACACUGCACAACCCUUUUCCAUCAUAUAAAUCUACUGCUAAUAAAUUAGUAAAGGAUCACCUUUGAAAAUCUACACCCUAGUGUUAAAAACCUCUAAUAACCCUCCCCCAACAUUAAUCUAAUAAUUAAAAAAAUAAAAAAAAAACAAACAAAAAAAAACAACAACAAAAAAACCCUUCAUAUAAAAGCUAGCAGGUGGAGAUACAGAUUCUGAAAAGUUUGAUGAAAAGGUAGCAAAGACAACGGGAAACAUCUGCACACCGAGCGAGCAGGUUGUUGUUGCUUGUACAAUGAAAAGAAAAAGAAAAGAAAAGAAAAAAGUUCCUCACAGGUUCUCCACAUACGUAAGGGUUCCUAACGUUGUAAGGUUUUAUUGGUAGCCCUUUGUAAAUAGCAAAACACUCCACUGUAAGUUUUCACAAGUGAUCAUUUCCCCAGUGGGACUCUUUAAAGGGUCUAGAUUUAAGCUUCUUUUUGUUUAGUGUAGUUACGGUAGACAUGUUACUCCAGGAAUUACGGUGGAUCGCCCCAUCAGUUAGUGUUCUCAACUUAGCACUAACAGAGCGCUGGGAACUCCAAUAACAGCAGAAAGUAGCCUUAUAUAGUAAUGGUCUUAAAAGGACAAUCAGAAACAUAUUAUAAAGCACAAUUACGUUAUAAUGAAGGUUUCAAAUUUCACGCACCUGACCUAGUCAAGGACUGAAGAUCAGGACUGUAACACUUGAAUAUCAGGACAAACAUUACAUUGCAUCAGUAGAGUUAGGUAAUCAUUUUCCUAGCAGUACAACCCCCACCAAAAAAUUAAAAUAACGACGUGAUGAAGUGAAAGAUGUGUGGAAUUAUACUGAACUUUUUUUCCUCCAAGUAGACGGAAUAUUUUGAAGGCUGUACAUGAAACUCCAGAGCUACUAGUAGCCUUGGAAUUACUGAACCUAGAGAGACUCCACAUAUGUGUGAAAGGACUCCCUGUCUUUUAUAUAGUGAGAAGUGGCCACAUUAACUCCCAAAAUAAAAAUGUAAAACGUUUUUAAAAACAACCAAAAACCGUAACAGCACAAUCCUGCUUUGAGCGGUCCACUUCAUGUCUCAUCAUCUUAAAGAAUUUUAAAUUCCAUGUCCGAACUCCACAAAUUCCAACGUCUCUCUUUUUUUCGUAAUCAGUUCUCACUUGCAUACAAGAAAUAAUCUAUUUUUUAAAUUUAUCUUUUUUUUUUAAAUAAUCGAUCAUCUCUAAAGUUCUGAGAAUGCAGGAAAUGGACCAUUCAGGGGGGACCGGUUUAGUGUGAAUACGAGUACUGCAGUUUAGGAAGAGCUACAGGUGGAUCAUGCACAGUGUAGGAUCAUGACGUCCAGCAAGAAGAGUUCUCACAACACUGUAGUAAAGUAAAGUGAAGAGUGUGUGUGUGUGUGUC
ensembl:lncRNA